rnacentral:rRNA from 1 species
UACGUAGGGUGCAAGCGUUGUUCGGAAUUACUGGGCGUAAAGCGCGUGUAGGCGGCGCACUAAGUUCGAUGUGAAAGCCCUGGGCUUAACCCAGGAACUGCAUUGAAAACUGGUGGGCUUGAGUCCGGGAGAGGGUCGCGGAAUUCCUGGUGUAGAGGUGAAAUUCGUAGAUAUCAGGAGGAACACCGGUGGCGAAGGCGGCGACCUGGACCGGUACUGACGCUGAGACGCGAAAGCGUGGGGAGCAAACAGG